UAAAGCUGCAAAACAGAAUGGCACACU
rnacentral:piRNA from 1 species